AGAUAAUAAGGGAGUAUUGAGGAUGUGAAGAUGAAACAGGCUGGAAGCCAUAGCUGGCUGUUUUCGGAUACAGCAGAGCUACUGUGAGGUAUGUCAUUAACGAAGGAAUGCAACUCGUUUUCAAGCUCCAUAAAGAGUUCAUAGAGAAUCAGAUGAUUUCAAUCCAUAUGGGUGUAGCCCCGCCUCGAUGAUUAAAAGGAUAUCGUCAAAUAAGGAAGCAAGCUCACAGAGGGAAGAAAUCAG